rnacentral:misc_RNA from 1 species
UCCGGUUUGUCACCGGCAGUCUCCCUAGAGUGCCCUUGCGUAGCAACUAGGGACAAGGGUUGCGCUCGUUGCGGGACUUAACCCAACAUCUCACGACACGAGCUGACGACGGCCAUGCAGCACCUGUCACUGCGCUCCCGAAGGCACAAUCUCCUUUCGGAGACCUUCGCAGGAUGUCAAGUCCAGGUAAGGUUCUUCGGUUAUCGUCGAAUUAAAGAACAUGCUCCACCGCUUGUGCGGGUCCCCGUCAAUUCCUUUGAGUUUUAAUCUUGCGACCGUACUCCCCAGGCGGGAUGCUUAACGCGUUAGCUUCGCUACAUACCGGGUCGAUACGGCAUACAGCUAGCAUCCAUCGUUUACGGCGUGGACUAC